GAUGAACGCUGGCGGCGUGCCUAAUACAUGCAAGUCGAACGGUCCCGGCCCUUCGGGGUUUGGGAUAGUGGCGAACGGGUGAGUAACGCGUGGGUGACCUGCCCCGAAGCGGGGGAUAACAGCCUGAAAGGGUUGCUAAUACCCCAUGUGCUGGGUUGGCUUAGCGGCCGGCCCAGGAAAGGCGAAAGCCACUUUGGGAGGGGCCUGCGUCCCAUCAGCUAGUUGGUGUGGUAACGGCGCACCAAGGCGAUGACGGGUAGGGGACCUGAGAGGGUGGCCCCCCACAAUGGAACUGAAACACGGUCCAUACACCUACGGGUGGCAGCAGUAGGGAAUAUUGCAAAAUGGGCGCAAGCCUGAUGCAGCAACGCCGCGUGGGCGAUGAAGGCCUUCGGUCGUAAAGCCCUUUUGGGAGGGACGAGGAAGGACGGGUACCUCCCGAAUAAGCCUCGGCUAACUACGUG
rnacentral:rRNA from 1 species